GGGAGACAGGUGGUGCAUGGUUGUCGUCAGCUCGUGUCGUGAGAUGUUGGUUAAGUCCCGCAACGAGCGCAACCCCUAUCUUUAAUUGCCAUCAUUCAGUUGGGCACUUUAGAGAGACUGCCGGUGUUAAGCCGGAGGAAGGUGGGGAUGACGUCAAGUCCUCAUGGCCUUUAUGUCUAGGGCUACACACGUGCUACAAUGGGUGGUACAAAGAGCAGCUAACUCGCGAGAGUAUGCAAAUCUACAAAAAGCCAUCCUCAGUUCGGAUUGGAGUCUGCAACUCGACUCCAUGAAGUUGGAAUCGCUAGUAAUCGCGGAUCAGCAUGCCGCGGUGAAUACCGGUUCCCGGGCCUU
rnacentral:rRNA from 1 species